UACGGAGGGUGCGAGCGUUAAUCGGAAUUACUGGGCGUAAAGAGUGCGUAGGCGGUUAUUUAAGUCAGAUGUGAAAGCCCCGGGCUCAACCUGGGAACGGCAUUUGAUACUGGGUAACUAGAGUUUGGGAGAGGUAAGUGGAAUUUCAGGUGUAGCGGUGAAAUGCGUAGAGAUCUGAAGGAACACCAGUGGCGAAGGCGACUUACUGGCCUAAAACUGACGCUGAGGCACGAAAGCAUGGGUAGCAAACAGG
rnacentral:rRNA from 1 species